rnacentral:rRNA from 1 species
UAAAGCUUGGUGUACUUAUGUCUUUAAUAUCAUAAUUUUUAUUUAACCCUUCAUCACUACUGAACCAUUUUAUACCCCUAUAAAAGUCAUUAUGCUAGAACUAGUAACAAGAAAUAGCCUUUCUCCUAAAUGUGUAUUUAAACCGAGAACGGACCCUCCACCGGUAAUUAACGCAAAUGUAAAUAAUCAUAGUAUACACGGCUAGAAAACCCUAUGUUUACUAAACGUCAACCUUACACUAGAACAUUAUAGGAAAGAUUAAAAGAGAAAGAAGGAACUCGGCAAAUUACAGUCCCGCCUGUUUACCAAAAACAUCGCCUCUUGACUAAAUAUAAGAGGUCCAGCCUGCCCAGUGACAUAGUUUAACGGCCGCGGUACCCUAACCGUGCGAAGGUAGCAUAAUCACUUGUUCUUUAAAUAGGGACUCGUAUCAACGGCAUCACGAGGGCUGUACUGUCUCCUUUCUCCAAUCAGUGAAACUGAUCUCCCCGUGAAGAAGCGGGGAUAAACCUAUAAGACGAGAAGACCCCAUGGAGCUUUAAACCCACCACACACCUUUACACACUCAAAUCAACAUAGCCAAAAAGGCUUGUGUGUUGGUUUUAGGUUGGGGGGACCGCGGAGUAAAAUCAAACCUCCACGACAGACGGGCUAACACCCUUAUCCACGAACCACAAUUCUAAGAGCCAAUAAACUGUUGUCUAAUGACCCAAUUAUUUGAUCAACGAACCAAGUUACCCUGGGGAUAACAGCGCAAUCUACUUCAAGAGUCCAUAUCGACAAGUAGGUUUACGACCUCGAUGUUGGAUCAGGGUAUCCUAGUGGUGCAGCCGCUACUAAAGGUUCGUUUGUUCAACGAUUAAAACC